UCCCGUCUCCUUCAGAUCCAGUCUUUUUCUACCUCUCAUAAGCAAAGAAGAGACUUAUAAGAGAUAACAACCAAACAUGGGAAAAUAAGAUAAAGCAAACAUAAUCAUAUUGAAGAUGGACAUGGUUACCCAAUAGAAGGAAAAGAGUCCUCUUUCAUCCCCCUCCUCAUUUGAGCAUCUAGUUUCUCAAUACUUCUGUAUGUAACUAUCAUCUAUUUCCCCUCCCUAGGGGAAUCCUUCCCUCAUUUUUUGUACCUUACUCUAUAACCAACCCCUGUAGUUUAUACAGCUAUCCAAGACUUAAUGCUAGACGUUCACCUAUAAGUGAAGACAUGUCAUUUGCUAGAAUAUUAUUGUCAUAAAGUAUGAUCUAAAGGAAUUCUGCUAGAAUGACCAGACAAGUAAUUAAUGCAUCAAUAUAUGAUUGCCCUUACUAUUAUC
rnacentral:lncRNA from 1 species